GAUGAAGAACGUAGCGAAAUGCGAUAAGUAAUAUGAAUUGCAGAUUUUCGUGAAUCAUCGAAUCUUUGAACGCACAUUGCGCCCUUUGGUAUUCCAAAGGGCAUGCCUGUUUGAGCGUCAUUUCUCUCUCAAAUCUUCGGAUUUGGUUUUGAGUGAUACUCUUAGUCAGACUAGGCGUUUGCUUGAAAUGUAUUGGCAUGAGUGGUACUAGAUAGUGCUAAACUGUUUCAAUGUAUUAGGUUUAUCCAACUCGUUGACCAGUGAAGUAUUUGUUUAUUACACAGGCUCGGCCUUACAACAACAAACAAAGUUUGACCUCGAAUCAGGUAGGACUACCCGCUGAACUUAAGCAUAUCAAUAAGCGGAGGA
rnacentral:misc_RNA from 1 species